UACGUAGGGACGAGCGUUGUCCGGAAUUACUGGGCGUAAAGGGCGCGCAGGCUGUAGAUCAAGUCAGCUGUGAAAUGUCUGGGCUUAACCCGGGCAUGCGGUUGAAACUGAUGUACUGGAGUGCUGUAGAGGCAAGUAGAAUUCCCAGUGUAGCGGUGAAAUGCGUAGAUAUUGGGAAGAACACCGGUGGCGAAGGCGACUUGCUGGGCAGCAACUGACGCUGAGGCGCGAAAGCCAGGGGAGCAAACGGGGAUUAGAUA
rnacentral:rRNA from 1 species